rnacentral:rRNA from 1 species
ACCGGAGCUAAUACCGCAUAAUAUCGAGAGAUCAAAGCAGAAAUGCGCUUGAGGAGGGGGUCGCGGCUGAUUAGCUAGUUGGCAGGGUAAUGGCCUACCAAGGCAAAGAUCGGUAUCCGGCCUGAGAGGGCGCACGGACACACUGGAACUGAAACACGGUCCAGACUCCUACGGGAGGCAGCAGUGGGGAAUUUUGCGCAAUGGGGGAAACCCUGACGCAGCAACGCCGCGUGGAGGAUGAAGUCCCUUGGGAUGUAAACUCCUUUCGAUCGGGAAGAUAAUGACGGUACCGGAAGAAGAAGCACCGGCUAACUCUGUGCCAGCAGCCGCGGUAAUACAGAGGGUGCGAGCGUUGUUCGGAAUUAUUGGGCGUAAAGGGCGCGUAGGCGGUGCGGUAAGUCACCUGUGAAAUCUCCUGGCUCAACUGGGAGUCUGCAGGCGAAACUGCCG